AUUCCAGCCCCAAUAGCGUAUAUUAAAGUUGUUGCAGUUAAAAAGCUCGUAGUUGAACUUCGGAACCGGUCGAUUGGUCCGUCCUCUGGAUUGUGUACUGAUCGAUCUGUUCUUCUUCGCGAAGACCGCGUGUGCCCUUAACUGGGUGUGCACGGGAUUCACGACGUUUACUUUGAAAAAAUUAGAGUGUUCAAAGCAGGCAUUCGCUUGAAUAUCUCAGCAUGGAAUAAUAGAAUAGGACUUUGGUCUUAUUUUGUUGGUUUCCGAGACCGAAGUAAUGAUUAAUAGGGACAGUUGAGGGCAUUCGUAUUUCAUUGUCAGAGGUGAAAUUCUUGGAUUUAUGAAAGACGAACUUCUGCGAAAGCAUUUGCCAAGGAUGUUUUCAUCA
rnacentral:rRNA from 1 species